UCGGAUCUCGUUCUGGAUGACUGGGCGUAAGGGUCCGCAGGUGGAUUGUGUGUCUGCUGUGAAAGAAUGAGGCUCAACCUCAUCAAGGCAGUGGAAACUGGAAGCUAGAGUUCUGUCGGGGUAGAAGGAAUUCCUGGUGUAGCGGUGAAAUGCGUAGAGAUCAGGAAGAACACCGGUGGCGAAAGCGUUCUGCUAGACCUGUACUGACACUGAAGGACCAAAGCUAUGGGAACGAAUGGGAUUAGAUACCCCAGUAAUCCUAGCCCUAAACGAUGGAUACUAAGCGUGGCUUGUAUCUACCCGAGCCGUGCCGGAGCUAACGCGUUAAGUAUCCCGCCUGGGGAGUACGCACGCAAAUGUGAAACUCAAAGGAAUUGACGGGGGCCCGCACAAGCGGUGGAGUAUGUGGUUUUUUCAAUGCAACGCAAAACCUUACCCUACUUGACAUGUCGCGAAUCUCCUUGAAAAGGGAGAGUGCCUUUGGAGCGCGAACACAAGUGGUGCAUGGCUGUCGUCAGCUCUGUCGUGAGAUGUUGGGUUAAGUCCCGCACGAGCGCACCCUCUUUUUAGUUGUCAGCAUUAAUUGUGCACUCUCAGAGACUGCCGGUGACAACCGCAGGAGGAGGGGAUGACGUCAGUCAGCAUGCCCUUACUCUGGGCUACCACUACUACAUGCUAGGACUGAGGUAGCUAACAGCAUGUAAGCAAUCCCGUAACCGAGCUCAUUCUAUCGAUAGCUGCACUACCCUGCUGAUGAGAUCGUAGUAUAGCAGUCAGCAUACUGCAUGGAUCAUCCCGCCGUGUAC
rnacentral:rRNA from 1 species